GAUGAACGCUGGCGGCGUGCUUAACACAUGCAAGUCGAACGGAAAGGCCUCAGCUUGCUGGGGUACUCGAGUGGCGAACGGGUGAGUAACACGUGGGUGAUCUGCCCUGCACUUUGGGAUAAGCUUGGGAAACUGGGUCUAAUACCGAAUAUGACCACUUCUUGGAUGUUGUGGUGGAAAGCUUUUGCGGUGUGGGGUGAGCCUGCGGCCUAUCAGCUUGUUGGUGGGGUAAUGGCCUACCAAGGCGGCGACGGGUAUCCGGCCUGGGAGGGUGUACGGACACACUGGGACUGAGAUACGGCCCAGACUCCUACGGGAGGCAGCAGUGGGGAAUAUUGCACAAUGGGCGCAAGCCUGAUGCAGCGACGCCGCGUGGGGGAUGAAGGCCUUCGGGUUGUAAACUCCUUUCGCUAUCGACGAAGCCACUUGUGGUGACGGUAGGUAGAUAAGAAGCACCGGCUAACUACGUGCCAGCAGCCGCCGUAA
rnacentral:rRNA from 1 species